rnacentral:rRNA from 1 species
GGGUUGUGAGGUUAAGCGACUAAGCGUACACGGUGGAUGCCCUGGCAGUCAGAGGCGAUGAAGGGCGUGCUAAUCUGCGAUAAGCGCCGGUAAGGUGAUAUGAACCGUUAUAACCGGCGAUACCCGAAUGGGGAAACCCAGUGUGAUUCGUCACACUAUCAUUAACUGAAUCCAUAGGUUAAUGAGGCGAACCGGGGGAACUGAAACAUCUAAGUACCCCGAGGAAAAGAAAUCAACCGAGAUUCCCCCAGUAGCGGCGAGCGAACGGGGAGGAGCCCAGAGCCUGAAUCAGCAUGUGUGUUAGUGGAAGCGUCUGGAAAGGCGCGCGAUACAGGGUGACAGCCCCGUACACAAAAGCGCAUGUGCUGUGAGCUCGAUGAGUAGGGCGGGACACGUGGUAUCCUGUCUGAAUAUGGGGGGACCAUCCUCCAAGGCUAAAUACUCCUGACUGACCGAUAGUGAACCAGUACCGUGAGGGAAAGGCGAAAAGAACCCCGGCGAGGGGAGUGAAAAAGAACCUGAAACCGUGUACGUACAAGCAGUGGGAGCACAGGUUUACCUGUGUGACUGCGUACCUUUUGUAUAAUGGGUCAGCGACUUAUAUUCUGUAGCAAGGUUAACCGAAUAGGGGAGCCGGAGGGAAACCGAGUCUUAAUUGGGCGUUAAGUUGCAGGGUAUAGACCCGAAACCCGGUGAUCUAGCCAUGGGCAGGUUGAAGGUUGGGUAACACUAACUGGAGGACCGAACCGACUAAUGUUGAAAAAUUAGCGGAUGACCUGUGGCUGGGGGUGAAAGGCCAAUCAAACCGGGAGAUAGCUGGUUCUCCCCGAAAGCUAUUUAGGUAGCGCCUCGUGAAUUCAUCUCCGGGGGUAGAGCACUGUUUCGGCUAGGGGGCCAUCCCGGCUUACCAACCCGAUGCAAACUGCGAAUACCGGAGAAUGUUAUCACGGGAGACACACGGCGGGUGCUAACGUCCGUCGUGAAGAGGGAAACAACCCAGACCGCCAGCUAAGGUCCCAAAGUCAUGGUUAAGUGGGAAACGAUGUGGGAAGGCCCAGACAGCCAGGAUGUUGGCUUAGAAGCAGCCAUCAUUUAAAGAAAGCGUAAUAGCUCACUGGUCGAGUCGGCCUGCGCGGAAGAUGUAACGGGGCUAAACCAUGCACCGAAGCUGCGGCAGCGACACUGUGUGUUGUUGGGUAGGGGAGCGUUCUGUAAGCCUGUGAAGGUGGCCUGUGAGGGUUGCUGGAGGUAUCAGAAGUGCGAAUGCUGACAUAAGUAACGAUAAAGCGGGUGAAAAGCCCGCUCGCCGGAAGACCAAGGGUUCCUGUCCAACGUUAAUCGGGGCAGGGUGAGUCGACCCCUAAGGCGAGGCCGAAAGGCGUAGUCGAUGGGAAACGGGUUAAUAUUCCCGUACUUGGUGUUACUGCGAAGGGGGGACGGAGAAGGCUAUGUUGGCCGGGCGACGGUUGUCCCGGUUUAAGCGUGUAGGUGUGUGUUCCAGGUAAAUCCGGUUCACUUUAACACUGAGGCGUGACGACGAGGCACUACGGUGCUGAAGCAACAAAUGCCCUGCUUCCAGGAAAAGCCUCUAAGCAUCAGGUAACAUCAAAUCGUACCCCAAACCGACACAGGUGGUCAGGUAGAGAAUACCAAGGCGCUUGAGAGAACUCGGGUGAAGGAACUAGGCAAAAUGGUGCCGUAACUUCGGGAGAAGGCACGCUGACACGUAGGUGAAGUGAUUUACUCAUGGAGCUGAAGUCAGUCGAAGAUACCAGCUGGCUGCAACUGUUUAUUAAAAACACAGCACUGUGCAAACACGAAAGUGGACGUAUACGGUGUGACGCCUGCCCGGUGCCGGAAGGUUAAUUGAUGGGGUCAGCGCAAGCGAAGCUCCUGAUCGAAGCCCCGGUAAACGGCGGCCGUAACUAUAACGGUCCUAAGGUAGCGAAAUUCCUUGUCGGGUAAGUUCCGACCUGCACGAAUGGCGUAAUGAUGGCCAGGCUGUCUCCACCCGAGACUCAGUGAAAUUGAACUCGCUGUGAAGAUGCAGUGUACCCGCGGCAAGACGGAAAGACCCCGUGAACCUUUACUAUAGCUUGACACUGAACAUUGAGCCUUGAUGUGUAGGAUAGGUGGGAGGCUUUGAAGCGUGGACGCCAGUCUGCGUGGAGCCGACCUUGAAAUACCACCCUUUAAUGUUUGAUGUUCUAACGUGGACCCGUGAUCCGGGUUGCGGACAGUGUCUGGUGGGUAGUUUGACUGGGGCGGUCUCCUCCUAAAGAGUAACGGAGGAGCACGAAGGUUGGCUAAUCCUGGUCGGACAUCAGGAGGUUAGUGCAAUGGCAUAAGCCAGCUUGACUGCGAGCGUGACGGCGCGAGCAGGUGCGAAAGCAGGUCAUAGUGAUCCGGUGGUUCUGAAUGGAAGGGCCAUCGCUCAACGGAUAAAAGGUACUCCGGGGAUAACAGGCUGAUACCGCCCAAGAGUUCAUAUCGACGGCGGUGUUUGGCACCUCGAUGUCGGCUCAUCACAUCCUGGGGCUGAAGUAGGUCCCAAGGGUAUGGCUGUUCGCCAUUUAAAGUGGUACGCGAGCUGGGUUUAGAACGUCGUGAGACAGUUCGGUCCCUAUCUGCCGUGGGCGCUGGAGAACUGAGGGGGGCUGCUCCUAGUACGAGAGGACCGGAGUGGACGCAUCACUGGUGUUCGGGUUGUCAUGCCAAUGGCACUGCCCGGUAGCUAAAUGCGGAAGAGAUAAGUGCUGAAAGCAUCUAAGCACGAAACUUGCCCCGAGAUGAGUUCUCCCUGAGACUUAAAGUCUCCUGAAGGAACGUUGAAGACGACGACGUUGAUAGGCCGGGUGUGUAAGCGCAGCGAUGCGUUGAGCUAACCGGUACUAAUGAACCGUGAGGCUUAACCUUACAACGCCGAAG